rnacentral:rRNA from 1 species
GCUCAUUCGGUGGCAACAUCGGAGAAGGCCUAGUGGCGAACGGGUGCGUAACACGUGAGGAACCUGCCCCGAAGACCGGGAUAACAGCGGGAAACCGCUGCUAAUACCGGAUGACCCCAUCAGGCCGCAUGGCCAGGUGAGGAAAUGGGCCUACCGCUUCGGGAGGGCCUCGCGGCCUAUCAGCUUGUUGGUGGGGUAACGGCCUACCAAGGCUACGACGGGUAGCUGGUCUGAGAGGACGACCAGCCACACUGGGACUGAGACACGGCCCAGACUCCUACGGGAGGCAGCAGUGGGGAAUCUUGCGCAAUGGGCGAAAGCCUGACGCAGCAACGCCGCGUGAGGGAUGAAGGUCUUCGGG